CUAUUUCCCCUCCAUGUUCCCUAUUUCCCCUCCAUGUUCCCUAUUUCCUUGUAACCGCUCCACCUCUUCACCCAAUUCUGAUUUCGUUGUUGACAAACAGGUGCAUAAGCCUUCACCGCUUAGGAUCCUCUCGCUCCUUGUUCCAAUCGCUGUUCUCGGGCUCCAUCUCUGUUCGCUGGUCCAGCUCUGUUUCUGCUCGCCAAAAAUCUCCCUUUGCACUGGGUUUUCUUCCUCAGGUAAUUGCACUUCUUGACUUGGACUUUGUUCAUUGUUUACUCCCUUUGUUCACUAUGUCGUUCAUGGCAAGAAGUGGGUCUUGAAUUUUUGUCAUUUUGCAAUUGCUAGUGGAAGGCAGCGUGGUCGUCUUUUCGUUUGAGGAGGAAGUUCGAAGAGGACAGUAUUGGGUUUGUGCGUUAUUGGCUUGAAGGCAAGCGGUGAGUUCAUCGUUUUACAAAUGUAAAUUUCUUUGUAGCUUUUAAAAUCCUUG
rnacentral:lncRNA from 1 species